GCUCUGAUCUGGUGAUGAUGGAAAAGUGGAAAGUUGCAUGAACAGAAAUGUAGUCAAAGAAGCUCUUGAUAUGUUCAGGAAAUCAUGUGUAGUUGAGUAAUGUUAAUGCAGGACAAUUAAAGACUUGGGGCUGCUGAAGAAAUUACUGAUUAGAUAAUGAUUGACCUUGAUUAUGUGUGACUUAAGCACCAAAGUAGUUAGUAACUUAUUCAAAUUUAUAGGUAGGAAGAGAAUCAUUUAUGAGGUGUUUGAAUAAAUAGA
rnacentral:lncRNA from 1 species